rnacentral:rRNA from 1 species
CCUACGGGAGGCAGCAGUAGGGAAUCUUCCGCAGUGGGCGAAAGCCUGACGGAGCAACGCCGCGUGAGUGAAGAAGGAUUUCGGUUCGUAAAGCUCUGUUGUUAGGGAAGAAUGAUUGUGUAGUAACUAUACACAGUAGAGACGGUACCUAACCAGAAAGCCACGGCUAACUACGUGCCAGCAGCCGCGGUAAU